rnacentral:misc_RNA from 1 species
UUGAGUACUAAUUCAUUUGAUUUGAAUGGACAAGAAACCACAAGUGUGUUCAAUCUAUCUUCUGAUGCUCAAUCUGUCCCAGUCAAUACUAAUGAACCCACUGAAGCUCAAUUUGUCCCAUCUAAUCAAGAAUCAAGCCAGAGAGAAGGUGGCAGUGGGAGAAAGCGUAAGCAAAGCCAUGUUGGAUUAGCUCCUGAAAGCUAUGUGGAGUUUAAAAAGAUCCAAAAUACAGAAACACUUGAAACUCUUAAAGAACAUAAGAGGCAAGAGGAUCAAUUUUCUAUUAGCAAGUGUCAAGCUGAAUUGAAAGGAAUGGAUGGAUUAACAGCCUUGGACAAAUCAUAUGCUUUGGAGCUUUUCAUAUCUGCGACAAAUCGAGAGAUUUUCUUAACAACAACAGAGCAUGAUGUUAGAGAAAUUUGGCUCAAGCGCAAAAUUAGGUUGCUUCGUGGUAGUGAUGCAUGGCCUCAACAAAUGAUAUGAGCAAAUUUG